UCUCCGUAGGUGAACCUGCGGAAGGAUCAUUAUUGGAUUUUGAAACUUCAGGCUGCUGCUGGCUCUCCUCGGAGGGCAUGUGCACGCAUGUUGUCCAUUAUUUCUCCCACUGUGCACAAAUUGUAGACCUUUCAGUAGGCCUAUGUUGUUUUUCACAAUCUCUGAAUGUAAUAGAAUGGUUUUGAAUCUUGGGAAAUACAAUACAACUUUCAGCAACGGAUCUCUUGGCUCUC
rnacentral:misc_RNA from 1 species